UACGUAGGGGGCAAGCGUUAUCCGGAUUUACUGGGUGUAAAGGGAGCGUAGACGGCUGUGCAAGCCAGAUGUGAAAGCCCGGGGCUCAACCCCGGGACUGCAUUUGGAACUGUGUAGCUGGAGUGUCGGAGAGGCAGGCGGAAUUCCUAGUGUAGCGGUGAAAUGCGUAGAUAUUAGGAGGAACACCAGUGGCGAAGGCGGCCUGCUGGACGACAACUGACGGUGAGGCGCGAAAGCGUGGGGAGCAAACAGG
rnacentral:rRNA from 1 species